rnacentral:rRNA from 1 species
GACGAACGCUGGCGGCGUGCCUAAUACAUGCAAGUAGAACGCUAAAGGAGGAGCUUACUUCUCUGGAUGAGUUGCGAACGGGUGAGUAACGCGUAGGUAACCUGCCUGGUAGCGGGGGAUAACUAUUGGAAACGAUAGCUAAUACCGCAUAAUAGCAGUUGUUGCAUGACAACUGUUUGAAAGGUGCAAUUGCAUCACUACCAGAUGGACCUGCGUUGUAUUAGCUAGUUGGUGGGGUAACGGCUCACCAAGGCGACGAUACAUAGCCGACCUGAGAGGGUGAUCGGCCACACUGGGACUGAGACACGGCCCAGACUCCUACGGGAGGCAGCAGUAGGGAAUCUUCGGCAAUGGACGGAAGUCUGACCGAGCAACGCCGCGUGAGUGAAGAAGGUUUUCGGAUCGUAAAGCUCUGUUGUAAGAGAAGAACGAGUGUGAGAGUGGAAAGUUCACACUGUGACG